rnacentral:rRNA from 1 species
GAUGAACGCUGGCGGCGUGCCUAAUACAUGCAAGUCGAGCGAACAGAUGAGGAGCUUGCUCCUCUGACGUUAGCGGCGGACGGGUGAGUAACACGUGGAUAACCUACCUAUAAGACUGGGAUAACUUCGGGAAACCGGAGCUAAUACCGGAUAAUAUAUUGAACCGCAUGGUUCAAUAGUGAAAGACGGUUUCGCUGUCACUUAUAGAUGGAUCCGCGCCGCAUUAGCUAGUUGGUAAGGUAACGGCUUACCAAGGCAACGAUGCGUAGCCGACCUGAGAGGGUGAUCGGCCACACUGGAACUGAGACACGGUCCAGACUCCUACGGGAGGCAGCAGUAGGGAAUCUUCCGCAAUGGGCGAAAGCCUGACGGAGCAACGCCGCGUGAGUGAUGAAGGUCUUCGGAUCGUAAAACUCUGUUAUUAGGGAAGAACAAAUGUGUAAGUAACUAUGCACGUCUUGACGGUACCUAAUCAGAAAGCCACGGCUAACUACGU